rnacentral:sRNA from 1 species
CUUUUUGUUCAUUUCACCAGAGCAUGAUCUGUCAUGUCUCGGACACGCAUACCAGACAGUUAGAUAUUGUGUAAUUUCUUGUAAACAAGAACAACCAUGGAUCCUCAUUGUAUUGGCCAGGAUGUGCCCCGAUGUGACCUUUGUGAGUCCACCAUAGUACACAGCUACUGUGACUUUUGUCAUGUCAACCUAUGCACGCCAUGUAUAGGCAAACACAUUUUAGAUGGAUACGACAAGCAUAAAAUAGUCCCAUUCCAGGAACGAAGAUCAACCCUCAUUUAUCCGAAAUGUGGAACACAUCAACAAAAAAUUUGUGACUUACAGUGCAAAGAUUGCAACAUUUUAGUAUGCUCUUACUGUACUGCAUCAAAACAGCACAAGGGACAUAACUUUUUAGAAGUUACAGAAGUUUACAAUGAAAAGAAAAAAAAUAUUAAGAAAGACACAAACGAGUUGGAGAAUCAUAUUUCCCCUACGUAUGAAGAAAUUGCAUUGGACUUGGAAAAACAGGUUGCCAACCUGGAUGGAGGAUAUGAGAAACUGACAACAACACUAUCUAAACAAGGAGAGCAGUGGCACAGAGAAAUCGACAUCAUCAUCAACAAAAUGAAAACCGAAAUUGGCGAGAUAAAAGUAAAACAUAAAGAUAUUUUAAAGAAACAUUUGGAUGAAAUCAAACAGAUACAGGCUCUCAUUAAACAAACGUUUCUGGCUUUGAAAACAAUUGAGAAGUCCACUGAUAUAUAUUCUACCGUUGAAUACAGCUCUAGGAUCAGAGAGUUCCGAAAACUCCCACCUAUGGUUCAGGUCUCCUUUCCAACAUUCAUUCCAAAACUAAUAGACCGUGAGAAGCUGUAUAGUUUGUUUGGACAGAUCACCCCAUUAUCUACUUCUACAAAAGAAAAUGUAUUGUCACUAUACCAACCCAACACUUCAGUAAAAGAUCUCCUGGAUGAACCAGAACAUGUUGCCACAAUACAGACUAGGUAUAGAAACCUUCGCAGCGUUUCCUGUCUUAAUGAAGACAAGACAUGGGCAAGUGGACGGACUAAUUAUAUCAAAUGCUUUAACAUCAAAGGUGUGUUACUUCAGACAGUGAAACUAACUUUAGGAAUGUUCCCUAAUGAUAUAGUCAUAGACAGUGAUGGGAAUCUUUUGUACACUUUUUGUAAAACGGGGACAGUUUGUAUAGUAAAGAAUGGACAGAAAGAAGUCUUGAUCACAAUGCAGGUUUGGGCACCAUCAAACCUGUGUGUCACCUCUACUGGUGAUCUACUGGUUACCGUAUACAGUGUUGAUGAAACUCAAUCCAGAGUUGUCCGUUACUCGGGAUCUACAGAGACACAAUCAAUUCAAUAUGACAAAGAAGGUAAACCUUUGUACUCAGAGAAUGCAAGUGUAAAAUACAUUGCUGAGAACAGAAACAAUGACAUCUGUAUAGCCGACUGUGAGGCUGGUACAGUAGUGGUGGUGAAUCAUGACGGGAAACUCAAAUGGAGAUACAGCGGUCAUCCCACAGAUUCCAUGAACAAUUCAUUUAUACCCGGGGGUAUCACAACAGACAGCCAAAGGCAUAUCCUGACAACAGAUUGGUACAACCAUUGUAUCCACAUUCUGGAUCAGGAUGGACAGUUUCUCCGUUACAUUGAUAACUGUGAUUUGAAUUUUCCUUUUGGUCUAUGCGUAGACAGUAAUGACAAUCUGUUUGUGUGUGAGUAUUACACAGGCAGUGUAGAGAAAAUCAAAUAUCUAAGAUAGACAUCAUCCAUCACCAAAUGUGAUGUAAAUCAACCUAAAGGACCCUUUUCUUUCUACUUGCUUAUUGAAUUUCUAUACUGAUUUUUUAAAAUCAAAUACAUUAAAACAUUAGUUUU